UAGUAGAUAUCUGUUAAACAAUUGUCAUUAUUGUUUCAUCAAUACAAAGAAAAGGUGAUUAGCAUUUUGUAAAAAACUGUCUUCAUUUUUCUGUUUACAAGUGAUUAAAAAUACAUAGUAUAUUUACCUGUCGGAUUGCUGUUUUCGUACAGUUUAAGUUUUAAAAAAGCCAACUACACAAGCUCCGCUUUGUUUGAUCAUCUUUAAAAAUCCGCAAUAUGAAUGCACAAGGACAGAGAAAUGUUGAAAAAGAUGGUUCUGUCAACAAAGAUCCAAAUACCCCAAAAAAA